rnacentral:rRNA from 1 species
GCGAGAAAACUUUGCAAUGUGCGAAAGCACGACAAGGUUAAUCCGAGUGAUUUCUGCUAAAGAAAUCUUUUGCAAGUCAUAAAACCACUAGUGAAUAAGGGGUGGGCAAGUUCUGGUGUCAGCCGCCGCGGUAAAACCAGCACCUCAAGUGGUCAGGAGGAUUAUUGGGCCUAAAGCAUCCGUAGCCGGCUCUGUAAGUUUUCGGUUAAAUCCAUGUGCUCAACGCAUGGGCUGCCGAAAAUACUGCAUAGCUAGGGAGUGGGAGAGGUAGACGGUACUCGGUAGGAAGGGGUAAAAUCCUUUGAUCUAUCGAUGACCACCUGUGGCGAAGGCGGUCUACCAGAACACGUUCGACGGUGAGGGAUGAAAGCUGGGGGAGCAAACCGGAUUAGAUACCC